GACGAACGCUGGCGGCGUGCCUAAUACAUGCAAGUCGAGCGAACAUUUGAGAGCUUGCUCUCAAAUGUUAGCGGCGGACGGGUGAGGAACACAUCGGAAUCUGCCUGGUUGUGGGGGAUAACGUAGGGAAACUUACGCUAAUACCGCAUGCGACCCUGAGUCGACGGACUGGGGGUGAAAGUGAGGGACCUUCGGGCCUCACGCGACCAGAUGAGCCGAUGUCGGAUAGCUAGUUGGCGGGGUAACGGCCCGCCAAGGCGACGAUCCGUAGCUGGUCUGAGAGGAUGAUCAGCCACACUGGGACUGAGACACGGCCCAGACUCCUACGGGAGGCAGCAGUGGGGAAUCUUGGACAAUGGGCGCAAGCCUGAUCCAGCCAUGCCGCGUGGGUGAAG
rnacentral:rRNA from 1 species